rnacentral:rRNA from 1 species
AAAACUUUCAACAACGGAUCUCUUGGUUCUGGCAUCGAUGAAGAACGCAGCGAAAUGCGAUAAGUAAUGUGAAUUGCAGAAUUCAGUGAAUCAUCGAAUCUUUGAACGCACAUUGCGCCUAUUAGUAUUCUAGUAGGCAUGCCUGUUCGAGCGUCA